GACGAACGCUGGCGGCGUGCUUAACACAUGCAAGUCGAACGGAAAGGCCCUGCUUUUGUGGGGUGCUCGAGUGGCGAACGGGUGAGUAACACGUGAGUAACCUGCCCUUGACUUUGGGAUAACUUCAGGAAACUGGGGCUAAUACCGGAUAGGAGCUCCUGCUGCAUGGUGGGGGUUGGAAAGUUUCGGCGGUUGGGGAUGGACUCGCGGCUUAUCAGCUUGUUGGUGGGGUAGUGGCUUACCAAGGCUUUGACGGGUAGCCGGCCUGAGAGGGUGACCGGCGACAUUGGGACUGAGAUACGGCCCAGACUCCUACGGGGGGCAGCAGUGGGGAAUAUUGCACAAUGGGCGGAAGCCUGAUGCAGCAACGCCGCGUGCGGGAUGACGGCCUUCGGGGUGUAAACCGCUUUCGCCUGUGACGAAGCGUGAGUGACGGUAAUGGGUAAAGAAGCACCGGCUAACUACGUG
rnacentral:rRNA from 1 species